AAGAAAAAUUGGAGGUGAUUUUUUCUCGUUAGACGGAGAAAUGGCAAAAGUGGAAUCGAAAUAAGACUGUAAUAUCCUCGUGUAAAGCGUGAAGAAAGAGGGGAAGAAAAAUAGAGAUAGCAGCGCCCGUGAGUAUGAACUUGGUGAUUUUACCGCUUAGCUCAAGCUAUCUCUUUUCUAGCUUGGAAUCAGUCCUCAGAUAAUAGCGUCCAUUAUAAUGCAGGUACUCUGUCAUAUCGUUCCUUCUCUUGUAAAGUUGCGGAAAGAAGGUCUGGAUGGGCAUGAGAAGAUUAAGAGUUAUAUAUGGUGGAUGUCACUUGGCUUUACAAUUUUGGAAGCUCUAAUAGUUGCUUGCUACUCACUUCCAUAUUCAAUUUACGGUGCUAGUUAUAGGUAAUCCGCAUCGAAGAGUACUUUCCAAGCAUGAUUUCAUUCAUCUAACAAAGAGUUGAACUACCAAUGUUUUCCUCACAAGUUGAUGCCAUAAGUAGGGUUAAAUAGAUGAUUUUCCAUAUAUUUUUAUCCAAACAGAUGUCUUUAAAUAAUCUUAAGACAUAGCAGAGCCGAUGGCCUUCAUUACAUAGGAAAUUGCCAAUUUAAAGGGGCUGACUGCUAAUAUGAGAAAAAGAAAGAUAAAUGAGAGUUUUUUCUAUGCAUUUUUUUUUCGAUUUAUGUGUUUCAUUUAAUAUUUUCAAUAACAUGAGAGUUAUUCAGCAAAGCAACAUGAUAUGGCAACUUUUACAAGUGCUCCAAGCUAGGAAGAAUCACAUGGGCCUCUAUUUGACGGAGAACCACUUUUACAAGUGCUUCUAACAAGGCACAAGAGGUAAAAGAUCUGUAAAGCGAGUAGGAGGUAGCAGUACUGAUUUUUCUGAGUGAAAUUGGCUGUGUCCAUUUGAGUUUGUUGUUGUGCACUUUUAGAUUGACCCCCUGAAGUAAUAUUUAGAGUACUGAUGAUUCUGUUGUUAUUCAAGUAAUAUUUAUUUGACUUUUACAGCUUCCUUUUAAGCUUUUAUUCUCUCUGCCCCUCUUCUGUUGUUUUAAUUCUUUAGUAGUUUUUGCUUGCUGUUUCUUAUGAUUGGCUGGUUGUGUGAACUUUAUUAUUUAGGUAUGCCAUUUUAUUUUCUCAAUUCUUUCUGCCCGCAAGGCCACACUUUAUUCUUAUUGGAUAGGUUGGUGAAUGGUGAGAUCCAAGGAUGCCAAGUAAUUCUCACAUGUGAGAUGCCUAUACAUAUCAUUCAGAUUAAAUGAUCUAUUGUAAAAGGAAACUGCCUAGUUUUUUUAUUACUCUUUAAGUUUUUCCUUCUUUACCUUCGGUAUAGUUUCCCCCCUAUUAUGUGAUUUUAGCUAUUGAAGUUUUAUUUUCCUAUGAUGUGUUGUGUUAUUUGAAAAAUAGAACCCAAUAGCAUGAGUCAGUAUUCGAUGGUUUAAGAGGUAUAUGAAUAUAAUAGUAUUGUGCAUCCAUGGUCUCAUUUUCUUUCAUGGCAUAUUACUUUUUGUGAUGCUACUCCAGCUGAUGAAGUCCUUUUUUUGGUCAUGAGCAUAUGGGUGAUCGAAGUGGUGUGGUAAUGUUACUUCCAUCAGCCUGGCAUGAUUGACACCAUUGCAGAUGGAAUAUUCAUAAUUAUUGUCUUCCAACAUACCCUCUGGAUGAAAAGAAGAUAUGCAGUCCAAGUGAGAGUGUAUUGUGGUGUUAUAUUGAUAUAAUCAACUUGAUAUGCAGCAAAGUUAGAGGAGAAGAUGGAUUGAAAGAAACUGUCCACAUUGUUAGUGACUGAUUAUAGAUACUAUAUAUAUAUAUAUAUGUAUCAGACCCUACCUCUAGUUCCCUUAGCCAUAUAUGUACAUCUGUGAUAUUGUUCUACUGGUACAGUUUCAGCAUUGGU